GUCCGGAUAGCUCAGUGGUCUAGAGCAGUUUCCCGGAAAGGGAAAAACUUGGGUUCGAUUCCCGACCCAGCCA
rnacentral:tRNA from 1 species